GCAGGGGUCGCCAAGCCUGGUCAACGGCGCGGGACUUAAGAUCCCGUGAGUCAGUCUCUUCGAGGGUUCAAAACCGAGGGGACUCCCUCGAGGCGUGAGCGACAUUCACACUAAGGUGUGAAGUCACUUGUUCAUUAUCAAAUUUAAUGUGCGUCUGGGGUCUUCUUUGUGAAAAUCCCUUCCCCUGCA
rnacentral:tRNA from 1 species